rnacentral:misc_RNA from 1 species
GAUGAAGAACGCAGCGAAAUGCGAUAACUAAUGUGAAUUGCAGAAUUCAGUGAAUCAUCGAGUCUUUGAACGCACAUUGCGCCCCCUGGUAUUCCGGGGGGCAUGCCUGUCCGAGCGUCAUUGCUGCCCUCAAGCACGGCUUGUGUGUUGGGCUCCGUCCCCCCGGGGACGGGCCCGAAAGGCAGCGGCGGCACCGAGUCCGGUCCUCGAGCGUAUGGGGCUUUGUCACCCGCUCUGUAGGCCCGGCCGGCGCCAGCCGACAACCCAUCAUCCUUUUCAGGUUGACCUCGGAUCAGGGAGGGAUACCCGCUGAACGUAAGCAUAUCAAUAAGCGGAGGA